UACGUAGGGUGCAAGCGUUGUCCGGAAUCAUUGGGCGUAAAGGGCGCGUAGGUGGCCUGGUCAGUUCGUGGUGAAAGCGCGGGGCUCAACCCCGCGUCGGCCAUGAAUACUGCUAGGCUUGAGCACUGUAGAGGCAGGCGGAAUUCCUGGUGUAGCGGUGAAAUGCGCAGAUAUCAGGAGGAACACCGGUGGCGAAGGCGGGUCUCUGGGCCGAUACUGACGCUGAGGAGCGAAAGCGUGGGGAGCGAACAGG
rnacentral:rRNA from 1 species